GUCAGUGUGGCAUAGUGGUUUGAGUGUUGGACUAUAACUCUGAAGGCCAGGGUUCAAUUCCCAACUUUACCA